AGACUUAUUGAUACACAUGUGUGAAUGGUUUAAAAGCUAAAACGUUUUCCCAUCUUAUUUUAUUAUUUCCUGACUCAGCUUACUAGCAAACCUGUCGUCAUCAUUGUUUGGCUAUUGUCAACGAUGCUAACGCUAACGCUAAUGCUAACGCUAAUGCUAACGCUGAUGCUAACGCUAGCUAACUUAACGUUACAGUAUGUAAAUCUGUCUUGUAUCUCUUCUAACUUUGUAACAUUAGACCUGAGUAAGUUUUGCAUGUCACAUUCAUUCAUGCAUUCAUAAUUAGGCUAAAUGUAUUGUGCAAGAUAUAGUGACAUGCAUCAUGACAUGCGACUAUUACAGUAUGAAAAGAAAUCAGAACAUUCAGGGAUUCUUCAAAAGAAAGAAAUCCAAAACAACAGAGCAGGACAGAGCAGCAGAAGCCAGCAGUGCUAGUCAGUCUGAGGAUGAGAGCCAGCUUGACUCUGCUAGGGAUGUACAGCAGGAGCCUCCAGCUUCAGCUGUACACAUGGACUCAGACAAGGAUACUGGUGAUGAAGGCCCUUCAUCUUCACUUGCACAUCAGGGUGUGUCAAGUCAGCCACUCUCUGACAAUGACACUGACACUGAGAACCAUCCAGCAGUACCUGCAGGCCAUGCAGUGACACGUGGGGAUGGUGA